rnacentral:lncRNA from 1 species
GGAUCACACGUUAUAAUCUAAAUAUGGUCUAACCAAAGAACAAUAAAGAAGUUUUAAAGAAUGACCAGUCGUAAACUCAUGUACAUCUUUUAAUAAAGCCAAGCAUCUUUAAUGACUUAAAAACCAUGCUAUUAAUGUGUAGGUUGAAAUUCAAGUUAGUGUCAAGAAUAACACCCAGAUCUAUAACUGAGUCAACUAAUUGUAACCUAGUGUCCCGUAUAUAGUAAGAAUUAUUCUCAAAGUUUCUUAGUCGAGUAAAAGUUAUAGCAUGGCAUUUGUUUGCAUUUAAGUCCAUACCAUUAAGUGAGCACCAUUCCACAAGACCAUUAAGAUCUGAUUGCAAAUUGUAGUGAUCCAAAUCAGAGGCAAUUAUGUGAAAUAAUUUAAGGUUAUCUGCAAAUAGAAGAAAUUGAGCAAAA